UCCAUUGUGGUGUAACGGCUAACAUUACCGCCUUUCAAUUACGAGAUCGCGGUAGCUCGGGGUUCGAUUCCCCGCAGUGGAA